UCAAACGUAAAUAAAAGGAUGUCCAGUUCACCAGAAGAAAAUCAAACUUUCAGAACGAGUGGCCACUCCGAAUUCCUUCACAGCUCCAAGCCCACUAUGGUUAGGGAUUACCUGCGUAGAUGAAAAUAAAAAGGGUGAGUUUGGGGAAACUCAGUGUGUAAGGAAAACUCAUUCAAAGCCCAAGUCAGCUCAAGCCUAUUGGGCCUAAGCCCAUUCAGGUAACAGUGGUACUGGACCAGAGCCCUUUUCAGAUUACAAUAAACUGGGCCUUAGCCCCUUAUUCAGAUAACAGUAUGGCCCAUAAGCCCAUUUCAAAAUACAUGCAACAUCAAUAACAUAUGCAAGCCCAUUUAGGGAGACUACUCAACCCACCAACCACUACACUCCACCCGUACCAGCCCUACACUCCAUGUGGGGAAUAGCUCAACCCACCCAGCCCAACACUCCACAGUUGCAGCCUUACUGCUCAGUUAAUAGUAAAUUGAGGCAAAGCCUCCAGUACGUAGACAAGCCACUUUCAGUACUUCCUCCGUCAAUAUCCCAAUCCCAUGAAUCAGAUAAUAACAACAUGGGAUGCAGUAAAUAACAACAGUCAAACAUGCAUUUAGGUCAAUUUAACCCUAGGGGUAUUUCGGUAAUUUAUCUACUAGGGGUAAAACUGUAAAUUUUCCACUUUUAAAGGUAUUUUAGUAAUUUAUCUAUUUUAUGGUUUUUCAUGCAUAUUCCUACUUUUCACUUACUAACAGAAUCACGUACCGAGGGUUCUUACCGAAUUGGGCCCGUUGGCCCAUCAUUCCAAUUUUGGCCCAUUAAGCCCAAAAAUAUCGAUGGCACAGAAAUCAUGCAUUUUGCAGUCCAAAUUUUGCAGCUUACCAAAAACAUUAAUCGAUUUACCUCACAAGCAUCCGUACAUUCGCAAAUCUACAAAAUACCGGUUUUCGGCAUUUCAGCUUUUCGACUUUUUCCGAUCCAGACUAAGAAAGAGGGUGUUAGUUACACACCUGUUUGCGACGAUAUGCUGAUGAGAUCCACACACGAACUGC
rnacentral:lncRNA from 1 species